rnacentral:rRNA from 1 species
AUUGAACGCUGGCGGCGUGCCUAACACAUGCAAGUCGAGCGGUAACAGGUGUAGCAAUACAUGCUGACGAGCGGCGAACGGGUGAGUAAUGCUUCGGAAUCUACCCAAUGGUGGAGAAUAACCAGCCGAAAGGUUGGCUAAUACCGCAUACGUCCCACGGGAGAAAGCAGGGGAUCGCAAGACCUUGCGCCAAUGGAUGAGCCGAAGUCGGAUUAGCAGUUGGUAGGGUAACGGCCUACCAAGGCGACGAUCCGUAGCUGGUCUGAGAGGACGACCAGCCACACUGGGACUGAGACACGGCCCAGACUCCUACGGGAGGCAGCAGUGGGAAUAUUGGACAAUGGGGAAACCCUGAUCCAGCGACGCCGCGUGUGUGAAGAAGGCCU